rnacentral:rRNA from 1 species
UACGUAGGCAGCGAGCGUUGUUCGGAGUUACUGGGCGUAAAGGGUGUGUAGGCGGUUGCUUAAGUUUGGUGUGAAAUCUCCCGGCUCAACCGGGAGGGUGCGCCGAAUACUGAGAGGCUAGAGUGUGGGAGAGGAAAGUGGAAUUCCUGGUGUAGCGGUGAAAUGCGUAGAUAUCAGGAGGAACACCGGUGGUGUAAACGGCUUUCUGGACCAUAACUGACGCUGAGGCACGAAAGCGUGGGUAGCAAACAGG